AAGGGAUAAUUAAACGAAAACAGAAUUGGAAUGUUAAAUUGAACAAGAAGUCUGAAACAUCUUGCAUAGUGAGAAAACAUGAAAUUAGAGCUCUUCAUAGUGCUGGUAAAUAUCAGUCGUAGAUGAUAUACUUUUGUUUACGGAGUUUUUGAUGCGUUUCAAAAAACUCUGGGAACCACACGCUGCUAAUGCAGCUGUUUGAUAUCCGACAUAAUCAAAAAAUUUUUGAAUGUACAUGUCUAGAUCAGGCCUGUCAUCAAAAAAUUCCAUUUCAGAAUUUUCGGUUGUUUGGUUCGAAAAUUCAGAAGACUCUUUACAUGAGAUGCUGCCGGUAAAAUGGUUUAUAAUUUUUAGGCGAACAUUGCUCUGAUGUAAAAGCGAGUUUAGAGAUUUCGAAGCAACUUUUAAUAGGGAAAGCGAUCGACAACUCCAGAUAAAUGUGAUGCUAGUAACAUUACAUUCUUUUAAAAUUAAAUCGCGAAGAAUUGGCAAAGUAUAUGAAAACCCUACGCCCCCCGCAAUAAGCAGAACAUAAGAGUACUCUUUGAAUACAUUGGACGUAGUGCCAUAGGGGCCAUCCAUAAAAACAGUCGUUUCUAGGUAUAAGUCUUCAGGCUCAUACGUGUGUCCUUGUGCGGUAUUUUCAAUCUCAACGGCGUAAGAUUUGAAACUAUUCAAUUCACGAUACGUAUUCGACAAAGACUCGGGAGUCCCUGGUGCGAGCGAAAAGUUAGGAUAUUCAUGGGGCAUAGAGUAUAAGCGGUUAGCCAGCCUUUCAGUAAAUCCUGAGUGGACGGCGACAAAAAGUUCAAUAAAAUCGUCAAAAGGAGCGCUUGCUAAGGUAAAGGGAUGGACUUGCCAAUAACUGAGGGAGGGAAUGUUUAUGUAAACAUGACUUCCAGCAGCCCAUGGCAAUGCAAAAAACGAUCUUUUCGGUUUACGACCCACCAUAUAUAUCAUGUCUUCAUUCAAUAGGUAAAUGCGAAAAUUUGAGCGAUUCCAAAUGCUUCUAAAUAGUCUGCAUCCUCUGUCGAAUGCGUAUAUAAUGAUACAAGCUUUCAUAUAAACAAUGGUUCUGGGGUGAUGCAGCCAUAUGAGAAAGAUUAUCAAAACGCUACAAGUGUGAUGCAGGACGAAAAACCACUCAAAAAAUUUCCUACGCACAGAAGGAAGACUGGCCACGGUCAUUAGAAACAACACUACCGUAAUGAAGUAUCCGUAGAUCGAUAUUUUAUCAUACAGAAGUGGUUUAUAGCUUUGAGCUGAAAAUAUCAUAAAGAGUAUUCCAUGCAGUACACUGAUGAGAACGGCAUAUACAGACAGCCAGCGAUGAAGAUAGUUCAUUUUUUCAUGCGAUGAAAACAACAUCAGGCAAAAAGGAUUAUUUUUUAAACUGAAAAAGUAGGAAACAAAGAAAAGACCACAAGAGAGAUAACCCAGUCGUGCAGCAACACCGGUUAAGUUCCAAUCAUAGGAUGCAAUACUAUUUUUUGUUUCCUUACCAGUGAAAGGAAUGGUAACCAACAUUACCAAUGGAGAUAAUAUUAAUGUCAUUUGUGCUUUGUGAGUAGCCAAAAAUAUAAACCAGUGUCUCAGCGCCAGAUAAACUCUUUCUCCCUUACUCGGACAUUGAUAAACGUUUACACAGUCUUUAAAGGUCCGAGACUUUUCUUUGACUCGAAAACGCUCCAGAAGGAAGAGCAAUGCAAACCCUAUAAGCAGCACGAAAAUCAGGGCAAUCGAGCCUAAAGUCCAUUUGUCAUCUCUAGCUAAAAUCAUGAUGACUGUGAUUUUGCAAUGAAAGAAAAGGAUGGAAAAUGCUCCAGGGCGUUGACUUUAAAUUUUCCAAAUAAUAAUCGAGCGUAAAAAAAAAAGCACUUCAAAGCAAUAGAGUGAAAAAUAGAAAAUUUAAAUUGAGAAAAUCGAUUGGAUAUCUAAUUUGGUCACAACCAAACCAUACAAACCUCAAUAUAAAAAGCCAAAUCUUUCAUAAAUCUUCAGCAAUGCAAAGCAGUAAAGAAGAAAAAAACGAAAUAAACUUAGCAAGAGAAAAAAAAACACGGAAAAAGAAAAUUUAAUCUAAAAAAAUAGUUUAUCAUCAACGAAGGCGCCCAUGUAUACGUUUUUAUACAUUUAAUAUUUUGGUUUUCAUUAAGCCUCAUCUGAUAUAGUAAAGUAACUUAUCAGAUCUCCCUCUGUAUUUAUCUAUACAUAAAUCUUGAAUCGGAGGUAACAAGAAAAUUUUAUCUGAUCAGAUAGCAACGCCUUCUCC